GACGAACGCUGGCGGCGCGCCUAACACAUGCAAGUCGAGCGAAGCGGCGGACGGGUGAGUAACACGUGAGAAACAUGACUUUCACAAGGGGAUAGCCUCGGGAAACCGGGAUUAAUACCCUAUGGUUAAAGAUGGUCUCGCGUCUGAUUAGCUAGUUGGUGGGGUAACGGCCUACCAAGGCCAUGAUCAGUAACCGGCCUGAGAGGGGGAACGGUCACAUGGGAACUGAGACACGGUCCAAACGCCUACGGGAGGCAGCAGUGGGGAAUAUGGCACAAUGGAGGAAACUCUGAUGCAGCGACGCCGCGUGAGCGAUGAAGGCUUUCGAGUCGUAAAGCUCUGUCCUAUGGGAAGCGGUACCAUAGGAGGAAGCCCCGGCUAACUACGUGCCAGCAGCCGCGGUAAUUC
rnacentral:rRNA from 1 species